rnacentral:rRNA from 1 species
UGGGGAAUAUUGCACAAUGGAGGGAACUCUGAUGCAGCGACGCCGCGUGAACGAAGAAGGCUUUCGAGUCGUAAAGUUCUUUUAUAUGGGAAGAUAAUGACGGUACUAUAAGAAAAAGCCCUGGCUAACUACGUGCCAGCAGCCGCGGUAAUACGUAGGGGGCUAGCGUUGUCCGGAAUCACUGGGCGUAAAGGGUUCGCAGGCGGAAAUGCAAGUCAGGUGUAAAAGGCAGUAGCUUAACUACUGUAAGCAUUUGAAACUGCAUAUCUUGAGAAGAGUAGAGGUAAGUGGAAUUUUUAGUGUAGCGGUGAAAUGCGUAGAUAUUAAAAAGAAUACCGGUGGCGAAGGCGACUUACUGGGCUCAUUCUGACGCUGAGGAACGAAAGCGUGGGUAGCAAACAGG